CAGCCGCCGCGGUAAUACGGAGGAUCCAAGCGUUAUCCGGAAUCAUUGGGUUUAAAGGGUCCGUAGGCGGUCUUGUAAGUCAGUGGUGAAAGCCCAUCGCUCAACGGUGGAACGGCCAUUGAUACUGCAGGACUUGAAUUAUUGGGAAGUAACUAGAAUAUGUAGUGUAGCGGUGAAAUGCUUAGAGAUUACAUGGAAUACCAAUUGCGAAGGCAGGUUACUACCAAUUGAUUGACGCUGAUGGACGAAAGCGUGGGUAGCGAACAGGAUUAGAUACCCAGUAGUCCCUGUCUCUUAUACC
rnacentral:rRNA from 1 species